rnacentral:rRNA from 1 species
AACGAACGCUGGCGGCAUGCCUAACACAUGCAAGUCGAACGAGACCUUCGGGUCUAGUGGCGCACGGGUGCGUAACGCGUGGGAAUCUGCCCUUGGGUUCGGAAUAACAGUUAGAAAUGACUGCUAAUACCGGAUAAUGUCUUCGGACCAAAGAUUUAUCGCCCAGGGAUGAGCCCGCGUAGGAUUAGCUAGUUGGUGAGGUAAAGGCUCACCAAGGCGACGAUCCUUAGCUGGUCUGAGAGGAUGAUCAGCCACACUGGGACUGAGACACGGCCCAGACUCCUACGGGAGGCAGCAGUGGGGAAUAUUGGACAAUGGGCGAAAGCCUGAUCCAGCAAUGCCGCGUGAGUGAUGAAGGCCUUAGGGUUGUAAAGCUCUUUUACCCGGGAUGAUAAUGACAGUACCGGGAGAAUAAGCCCCGGGCUAACUCCGUGCCAGCAGCCGCGGUAAU